UUAAUUGAAGCCAAAGGAAGAGGCACCUUAAUGUUAAUAAGGUUAAUGAAUUAUAUAUUCCAAUUAAA
rnacentral:tRNA from 1 species